CUGGCGGCGUGGAUUAGGCAUGCAAGUCGAGCGAGAACCGUAGCAAUACGGGGACAGCGGCGAAAGGGACAGUAAUGUGUAGGUACCUACCUCAGGGUCUGGGAUAGCUGCGGGAAACUGCAGGUAAUACCGGAUAAUGUCUUCGGACCAAAGGUGUGAUUCCACCCAGAGAGGGGCCUACAUCCUAUUAGCUAGUUGGUGAGGUAACGGCUCACCAAGGCAACGAUGGGUAGCGGGUGUGAGAGCACGACCCGCGUCAUUGGGACUGAGAUACUGCCCAGACACCUACGGGUGGCUGCAGUCGAGGAUCUUCGGCAAUGGGCGAAAGCCUGACCGAGCGACGCCGCGUGUGGGAUGAAGGCCUUCGGGUUGUAAACCACUGUCAACGGGGAGGAAAUGUAGGAGGGUACUCCCUUCUACUUGACCUAUCUGUGGAGGAAGUACGGGCUAAGUUCGUGCCAGCAGCCGCGGUAAGACGAACCGUACAAACGUUAUUCGGAAUCACUGGGCUUAAAGGGUGCGUAGGCUGCGCGGUAAGUUGGGUGUGAAAGCCCUCGGCUCAACCGAGGAACUGCGCUCAAAACUACCGUGCUGGAGGGAGACAGAGGUGAGCGGAACUCAGGGUGGAGCGGUGAAAUGCGUUGAUAUCCUGAGGAACACCGGUGGCGAAGGCGGCUCACUGGGUCUCUUCUGACGCUGAGGCACGAAAGCCAAGGUAGCAAACGGGAUUAGAUACCCCCGGUAGUCUUGGCUGUAAACGAUGAGCACUUGAUUGAAAGGGUCCUCCAUAGCCUUUCAGUCGUAGCGAUAGUGUUAAGUGCUCCGCCUGGGGAGUAUGGUCGCAAGGCUGAACUCAAGAAAUUGACGGGGCUCACACAAGCGGUGGAGGAUGUGGCUUAAUUC
rnacentral:rRNA from 1 species